CCUGGUGGGAAGGCAGGGCCAACCCAAGGGAGCUCAGGUAUAAUGCAGUGCAGCUGUGUGACCAGAAGGGGUAGAGCCAGGAGCCACUCCUUCCAGACCUCAUUUAAGGGUAGGCAGUGAAGGCAAUCCUAUUUUGUCGGGGUUCCCUGUGUAUUUGAGAUCUUCAAAGUGAUAGCACACGACAAAUAGAAGCCAUCUUCAGGAUUCCCACCUGAUAUUUAUAAAACGUUAUCUUGUCUGAGCUGCUGAGGUCCUUUGAUUAAAGAGAUGGAAGCAAAUCCUGCCCUCGAGUCAUAGGAAGAGGAGCACCUCGUUAUCAAGCAGGACACUCCGAGUGUUAUUCUCUCAGCAU